CCUACGGGUGGCAGCAGUGAGGAAUAUUGGUCAAUGGGCGCGAGCCUGAACCAGCCAAGUAGCGUGAAGGAUGACUGCCCUAUGGGUUGUAAACUUCUUUUAUAAAGGAAUAAAGUGAGGCACGUGUGCCUUUUUGUAUGUACUUUAUGAAUAAGGAUCGGCUAACUCCGUGCCAGCAGCCGCGGUAAUACGGCGGAUCCGAGCGUUAUCCGGAUUUAUUGGGUUUAAAGGGAGCGUAGAUGGGUUGUUAAGUCAGUUGUGAAAGGUUGCGGCUAAACCGUAAUAUUGCAAUUGAUACUGUCAGUCUUGAGUACAGUUGAGGUAGGCGGAAUUCGUGGUGUAGCGGUGAAAUGCUUAGAUAUCACGAAGAACCCCGAUUGCGAAGGCAGCUUACUAAACUGUGACUGACAUUGAUGCUCGAAAGUGUGGGUAUCAAACAGGAGUAGAUACCCUAGUAGUC
rnacentral:rRNA from 1 species